rnacentral:rRNA from 1 species
CCUACGGGGUGCAGCAGUGGGGAAUUUUGGACAAUGGGGGCAACCCUGAUCCAGCAAUGCCGCGUGUGUGAAGAAGGCCUUCGGGUUGUAAAGCACUUUUGUCCGGAAAGAAAUGGCGCUGGUUAAUACCCGGCGUUGAUGACGGUACCGGAAGAAUAAGCACCGGCUAACUACGUGCCAGCAGCCGCGGUAAUACGUAGGGUGCGAGCGUUAAUCGGAAUUACUGGGCGUAAAGCGUGCGCAGGCGGUUUUGUAAGACAGGCGUGAAAUCCCCGGGCUCAACCUGGGAAUGGCGCUUGUGACUGCAAGGCUAGAGUGCGUCAGAGGGGGGUAGAAUUCCACGUGUAGCAGUGAAAUGCGUAGAGAUGUGGAGGAAUACCGAUGGCGAAGGCAGCCCCCUGGGACGUGACUGACGCUCAUGCACGAAAGCGUGGGGAGCAAACAGGAUUAGAUACCCGAGUAGUC